rnacentral:rRNA from 1 species
CACUUCUAAGGAAGGCAGCAGGCGCGCAAAUUACCCAAUCCUGACUCAGGGAGGUAGUGACAAGAAAUAACAAUAAACCGGCUUAUGCCGGUUUAAUUGGAAUGAGUACAAUUUAAACAUCUUAACGAGGAACAAUUGGAGGGCAAGUCUGGUGCCAGCAGCCGCGGUAAUUCCAGCUCCAAUAGCGUAUACUAAAGUUGUUGCAGUUAAAAAGCUCGUAGUUGGAUUUCUGUGGGGACGGAGCGGCCGGCCGCAACACGCGGUUCGAGCUAGCGCUUUCCCUACAUCCUGCCGCGAACCGUGCUACCAUUAGUUUGGUGGCGCCGGGGAUCGGCUCGAUUACUUUGAGAAAAAUAGAGUGUUCAAAGCAGGCCACACGCCUUGAAUAAGUUAGCAUGGAAUAAUAACUAAGGACUUCGGUUCUAUUUUGUUGGUGUUCGGGACUGAAGUAAUGAUUGAUAGGGACAGUUGGGGCGGUCUGCAUUCCAAAGCGAGAGGUGAAAUUCUUAGACCUUCGGAAGACAAACAGCUGCGAAAGCGUUCCGCAAGGAUGUUCCCUUUGAUCAAGAACGAAAGUUGGGGGAUCGAAGACGAUCAGAUACCGUCGUAGUCUCAACUAUAAACUAUACCAGCUAGGGAUCGGCCAACGUUAUUUCAAACCGACUUGGUCGGCACCUUAUGAGAAAUCAAAGCAUCUGGGUUCCGGGGGGAGUAUGGUCGCAAGGCUGAAACUUAAAGGAAUUGACGGAAGGGCACCACCAGCCGUGGAGCCAGUGGCUUAAUUUGACUCAACACGGGAAAACUUACCAGGUCCAGACAUAGUAGGGAUUGACAGAUUGAUAGCUCUUUCUUGAUUCUGUGGGUGGUGGUGCAUGGCCGUUCUUAGUUGGUGGAGUGAUUUGUCUGGUUAAUUCCGUUAACGAACGAGACCCCAGCCUGCUAAAUAGCGCGCGUGAGCUUUGCUCGCGGCGAGCUUCUUAGAGGGACUCUGAUGCGCGAUAGCACAUGGAAGUUUGGGGCAAUAACAGGUCUGUGAUGCCCUUAGAUGUUCUGGGCCGCACACGGGCUACACUGGCGCCUGCAUCGAGCAUAUCAGCUGGCCCGAGAGGGUCUUGGCUAAUCUUUUGAACCGGCGCCGUGCUUGGGAUUGACCUUUGCAAUUGUUGGUCAUGCAACGAGGAAUGCCUUGUAAACGCGAGUCAUCAGCUCGCAUUGAAUACGUCCCUGCCCUUUGUACACACCGCCCGUCGCUCCUACCGAUGAAUGUUCCGAUGAAAUUUUCGGAGAGUGCCUGUGAACUUGGCUCUGCCUUGCGAACGGGAAGCUCAAAGUCACUUAAAUCUGAACAUUUCGAGG